rnacentral:rRNA from 1 species
UAGGGAAUCUUCGGCGAUGGGGGGAACCCUGACCGAGCAACGCCGCGUGAGUGAAGAAGGUUUUCGGAUCGUAAAGCUCUGUUGUUAAGGAAGAACGAGUGUGAGAAUGGAAAGUUCAUGCUGUGACGGUACUUAACCAGAAAGGGACGGCUAACUACGUGCCAGCAGCCGCGGUAAUACGUAGGUCCCGAGCGUUGUCCGGAUUUAUUGGGCGUAAAGCGAGCGCAGGCGGUUAGAAAAGUCUGAAGUGAAAGGCAGUGGCUCAACCAUUGUAGGCUUUGUAAACUGUUUAACUUGGGUGCAGAAGGGGAGAGUGGAAUUCCAUGUGUAGCGGUGAAAUGCGUAGAUAUAUGGAGGAACACCGGUGGCGAAAGCGGCUCUCUGGUCUGUAACUGACGCUGAGGCUCGAAAGCGUGGGGGGCGAACGGG